UUAAGCACUAAAGCCUUAGUGAAUAUCUACACUAGUAAGUUUUUCUUCAUGCUGGAAAUGCUUAGCAUUGUAGAUACUCCCUAAGGCUUGGGUGGUAUU
rnacentral:pre_miRNA from 1 species